CAGAUUUUGCCCGGGUCUAAAAGACCCGCAUUACAGACAGGCCUAUAUGGCCAAAUUAAUAAAACAAAUAGUGGCCCAAACCCAAUUACAACGAAAUAGGCCAAAAUACAAUGGCCCUAAAAAAAUAUCAGAAACCCGAGGGUUUCUAAAUCACCUGCGCCGCAACCAUGCCCUCCAAGCAUUCCCGAUCUUCAUACCUGCACAUCAAGAAAAAACAAAAAAAAAAAAGGAAACACAAUCAAAUAUUCGAAAAUUAAACAGAUUUGUUUCUUCUUUAGAUUUGUUUCAUUCGGCUAUAAAAAAGCCAUGAAUGCAUUGUAAUAGGGAUCCGAUUUGGACAAUCAAUAAAGAGGGGUUUUUAUUCUCACAACAAAACAUCAGAAUACUAAUAGUGCAAACAUCAAUCAAAAAAAGGUUGAUUUCUAUAAUCUAUUGCUAUUUACUUUUUUUUUGUGUACAUACAAAUAAAAUAAAAAAGGAAAAAAACGACCUGAGUGGUGCCCAGAACCACCGUGACUGGUCAGAAACCGAAAGGUUUCUCGGAGAUUUGAGGCUCUUGCAGUUGUGUUUUGUGGGUUUCGGGGCCAGAUCUAGGCUUAGGGGCCUCGGAGGAACCGGAUCUGAGAUUCUCCCCUUUUUCGGCCACCACAGGCGGCGGUGUCGGCGCCGGAGAACAACGGCCGGCGCGGUGGCCGAUGACCAGCCGAUGGUCGGACUGGAGUCCGAUGGGCUGGGGGGAGAGAGAACUUUUUUGAAGUUUUUUUUCUGUU
rnacentral:lncRNA from 1 species